GAGAGUUCCCAUAAUGUAAAUGGGUUUCUUGUAAUGCAAUAAUUGCCGGAUUAUAUUCAUUUAACAAGAGUUGCAAUUCAUGCAUUAAUAUUAGAUGAGGCCGAUAAUAUCACAAUUAUGGAGAAAAAAAGGCAGCAGAAAAAAAUUGUAAGAAAGGUGAUCCGCUCUCGAAAGCGUAAAGUUGCUUUGGGUACAUAUGUACUUAUAUGUACAUAUAUGGAGGUAUUUAUUAUGUUCUGUAGCAUGAAAUAACGUUUAAAUUUUCAGAUACGCAGCAUAAUUUUGGCAUGUGGUACUCCAGUGCUUUAAUGGAAUCAAAGCUGAGUAAGCUUUGUUAGUUAGCCGCACCAUUAAUACCAUAAAGUUGAGUCCAUUGACGCCUAAGGAUUACAAAACAGGAGCCAGUCAGCGCUAAGGCUACGGAUAUGAUGAGUCGGCUUGUACUAAUGUAAAGUACUUUGGGCAGUGCUUUACAUUUGCAAGUCUGAGAGAAACUCGAAAGUUCUAGUGCAUUUGCUACUAGGAGUGAGACGAAAUGCUGCAAAUGUAUUAAAUGUGAAUUAAUGGGAUGUGACGAUUUGUAAAAAGGUCUCAUAAAUUGUUGUUUGCUGAAGGCGCUACGUAUAAUUUCUCAUAGUUAUUUAAGAUAGAAAUCAUGGUGAGUUUUUCAGAAUGCAAAGGGCAGGAUUUAAUUUGUCGCAUCAAACACAUCUUUAUCAAACGUAUAUUUUCCUUUUAAGCUAAAAUAUUUUUUUAAUAUGGGAAACUAUGGUCAGUGGACUUAGUACGAUUUAUUUCAAGUUUUAUGAUAGUUUUUAAGCUUUUGUAAAACAUAUAUUUUAUAAGACACUCCUCCGCGUAGACAGGUACCAUAGAUGAUAAGAUGCGAAACUCUUUCAUUUUGCGAGAGGGAGAGAGCGCGCCCAUGAGCCUGUUUCAAAACUUGGCAGCAUUCACACAUUAUGGGAUUUUGAACAGCUGAUGCCGGCGGGACUGCCAGAGAAAUUACGCCAUUGAAAUGUUUAUAAUUAUUUGUCUUAAAAUUAAUUUAAUUGACAGUCACCGACUAACUCUCUUGCCGUACGGUUGUGCGUUUCAAGUGAUAAUCAAUGCUUAGUAAACUCCGCAAGCAUUUGUGCUAGUUCCACGUGCUUUUUUAAUAAUUCCAUUUGUUCACAUUCUUAUUGUUAUACAAAUUACCUGGCUUGUAAAAUAUUUAAAAGAAUAUCACUGAGUGCCUUAUAUGUGUAAAAGCCCCACGAUUCCUUCGGGAAUCGAUUUAGCAUUCUUACCGAUGGUAUGCUAAUUUCCCCGAAGCCAAAACUUAAAAAGGUGAAUAAAGAAGCAUCUUUUCCACCACUAUCAGACGUGACUCAAAAUCAUAAUUGCAAUGAUCCGAAAUUUAUUAUCAUUAAAUCUACCGAUGUGUCCAUCUCUUUAUCAAAAUAUAGAGUUCUGCUAAAAAUAAGGCUAUUGAUGGAAUAAAGACCGAAUACUUAUCAGUAAGCUUACUACGCGAUGGCAGCCUGCUGAUUCUAACAAAAUCUCUCAAGGUUGCUGCAAAAUUUAUGAAAUGCAAAAACUUUAGCGGUCUAUGUCCCGUCUCUAUUACUCUUCACGAACCCCUUAACACUUGUAAACAAUUUUCGACAAGAAUUUGGUAAAUACGGAUGAAAAAGAAAAUCUGGAGACUUUAAAUUCACAAGGAGUUGUGCGUUUAUUCAAAUUUACUAAAAAUAUUAAUAAUGUAAAAGUUCCUGCAGGCAGAAUAGUCCUAUCGUUGAACUUGUACAAAGUUACCCGCACUAUUGACAUAGCGUGGUACUCAGUGAGAGUUGAGGAAUACUUUCCUACUCCCAUGAGAUGCCGCUGAUGCCAACUACUAGGGCACACCAUAAAAAGAUGCAAUAAUAAUACCACGUGUGAAAUUUGUAACUUUCCAUCCCAUUCCACACUGCCAUGUCAACGCACAAUGUGUGCUAACUGUUUUGGGCCUCGCCCCGCCUCUGCCAGAGACUGUCCAAAAUACUUACAAGAGAAAGAGGUAUUAAAAAUUAAGACUCAGAACAAAUGUAGGUAUGCUGAAGCAAGACGCUUAUACAAACAACAAAACCCCAUCAACCUAAGCCAAAUGCAAUCUUACUCGACAAUUCUAAGCUCAACACAAGUUUCCCACCACAAUAUCGCUCACAACUCCAUGGAUCAUACCUUUUCAGUCGCCACUCAACCACUCAACACCAAGGUGGCUUAGUCGAAUCGCUAAUCAGUGAAUGGUAGCGUGGUCGCUUAAUUACUUAAUCCUACUGUAAGUUCUGUUACAAGUUAAG